CGUGCAGACCACACAGUCAAUGCCUCUGCAAGUUCAUGGCAAGGUUCUUCCAUCUUUAUUGAUAAGAAAGAAUCAUACAAAUGACUGGAAAUCUUCAGCACUUGACCAUGAUGGUUUGUUAUCUGUUUCAAUUCUGCCUCAUUUGGACUCAUAAAUAUGGUGCACCGCCAGCUGAUGAUAACCCUCCUGGGUGAAUGGGAUAUCAAGAUGCUAAGAUUCAAGGAAGAUAACAUGACCUGCUUAUUGUAUUGCUCCAUAGGAAAGGAAUCCAAGAACAUACAGUAACAUGAAAAGAUUGCAGUGUUUGUCCAACUGACCUGACUUCUCACCAGGCACUGAUUAUCCUAAGAAAAACAAGCUGUGAAUAAUCAAGUGCCUGGUUUCUGUGAUGUAGCACCUGGACUUGUUUAAGGAAUGGAUGUCAUGUUUACAGACAGCCCAAGGAAGCUUAUCAGAUGUUGCAGGUGGUGCAGUCAGUCUGUGCAUGUCAUUUUGUUUUUACAGGAUUGAUUUGUGGAUGAAUCAGCCAUAAAAGUGAUUUCAUAGAUUUCAUAACAGAGGGCAGUACAAAUCACUGAGUAAAAUUGAAACAGUUGAAACACUUUUAAAUGAAUCUCACAAGUUGCUUAUUUACUUUUCAGAGUACAAAACUGAGAACUCUGGAAAAGGAUCAAUCUCCUCUCCAGUAACCACCCACACUGUACCUUGAGCUCUGUGCUAUCACGACCUGUUACUUCACUUCCUUUUGCUGGUAUCACCAUCUAAAUAAGAUUUACAUGUGUAAACUGGCAAAACCUUUUUUAGUAAUUUAACUCUGUCAUUCUGGAUAACCUCUCCACUUUCUUGGUUAGAUUACUUGCAGUGACUGUAACAUGAAGUACAAACCAGCAGAAAUCUGUUUGUAAGCUUGCCCUGUUUUUCGAUACAUCUGCUGCUUCUUAUUGUUGACAUUUGGAAAUGCAUACACUUUUCUCUAUUGAAGAAUGUAACUGAUAAUUCCGAAGCAAUGGAUAAUAUUAAUAGAAAAAUUCUACAAACUGGAAACAAGAAUUGAGGAAUACACACUAUAUUUUGGUGUAGCAAUACUUUGGUUGCCUUCCUGAUUUUUUUAUUUGUUUUUGACGUUGUUUGGGUUUUUUCCUGUCAGAGCUUAAGUCUAGGGAAUGUCUUGCAAAACAAUGGUAUGGGAGGAUUACUGGGCUUAUAAGAUUUUCAUUAGAAUGAAAAUUAGGAAAAAAUUAUUUUAAAAUAUCUGUGCAUGUAGCUGACAAACUAUUUCAGUAUGUUAUUUUAAAAAUGCUUUUUAUUUAGUUAGUUUAUGGCUAUGAAAAUACUGCAGACAUGUUCACAAGUGUUUCUUUCUAUUCUUUUAUUUUGGAUGGAGGGCUGGAGGAUUCAAUUUUGUUGUACAUUACUGUUUCCAUUAUGUUUUUGUUUCCAACAGUAAAUCAAUUCCUGCAGUAUGUGAUCUUCCCCAGUGUGGUUAAGCUUCAAGUCAGACUGGAACAGGAAACCACUCUUAAUCUUACUUGAUAGUAAUGAUCUGUUCAGCAGAAAGGUCAAAUGCCUACCAGAUCUAUCAUAGCUUUUUCCCCUUCCAAUGAGACAUUGCUAAUAACUCUAUUAAGGGACCUUGCAGAUUGUCAAAACUUCCUAAAGCCUUGAUUUGACUCCUGUUCAGAAGAUCCCAUGGAAUGGAAUAAUUUCUGUUCCUCCCUGGGGUGAAUCUUGUCUGUGAUGUUAUUUUUCACCUGCUUUGGCUGAUGUUUAAGUACACAUACGCAGAUAAACACAGCAUAUAAAUAUGUAUUUACACAUAUAUACAUAUGUGCACAUCUACACAUAUGGAUAUCUAUAUACACACAAAUAUGAACAAAUAUGUCUCUGUCUAAAUACAUAUGAAACUCUUCUACCUGUAAGAAAUUGUGAGUUUACAAGGGUGAUAGACUCAUAUAACUAAGUAGCACCUUUCAGACUUUGACUUAAAAUUUAUAAAUUUAUUUUUAGAUACUGUCCUCUAGCAUACUUAUUCUCUCUUUCAUUUUGUUUUAUAUCUAAUAAACAUGUACGGGGUUUCUCCCAAUUUUUCCCCCUCAAAAUCUGAGUAAUGGUAAAGUUUUAAAAACCAUAUGUGAAACUGUGCUAAAGGCAGCUGUAUUGACAGUGUGCUAGUAAUGACGACUGGCAUUUUGGCAUUACCCAGUACUGUUUUCUUCUGGCUCAUGCUUCUGUAGGUGUGUGUAAUGUUAUGUGGAACUUUAUCAAAAGACUUUUUUUGACAAACCUGAUUCAUGUGAUUAGUGCUUUCGUUUGCUCUGGAGGCUAUUAGUGUGUUUGAGGAAGAAAAGAGAUUGCCUUGGCAUGAUUUAGUUUUUGAUGGAGUCUGCAAUUUGGCUUCUUUUCCUUUUGUUUUAUUUGAAGAGUUGACAGUCAUUUACUUGCUUCCUGUUUACUCACUCUUCCCUUUGGCCUCACAGACAUUAAACUCAGGGCUGUGUACACGUCUCUGGAGAGCAUCUGAUCCAAGCCUCCUAAUUCACCCAAUGCAGCAAGGCACCCUCAACAACUCAUCAAGGCUUCUCCCUAACUCAGUGAGGCCACAGGCAGUUGCUAUUGAAUCAGUUUUACAGCAUCUCUAAGGAAGGAGACACCACAAAAUCCUCAGGAAACCCAUCCCCUUUACAAUUAUUAAGCCUGUUGUGGGAAAUACUUACUUGGCAAAAAUGAAGUGAAUUAGAAUUGUCUCAUUCUUCACCUGUCAAACAAAAGCUGCAUGAUCUACAACGUCUGCCUGUCUCCUUUUCAGUCCUCUUUUUUUCUUUCCAGAUUUAGUUUGCAAUUGGAGUUUUGAGAGAUGUGAAAAUCUGAAUUAAAAUAAUGAAGCUGAGUUAACUUUAGGUCAUAAUUCUAGUUGGAAGAAAACAUGUCAGGAUCAUAUUUAGAAUCCCCAAACUGGUGCUACUGUGCUGUCAGCAACUCCACUGUUUUAUCUAUCUGCUGUCAAGCACUCCAAUUGUGGUCACAGUGUACAGUGGAGUACAUGGAGUGCAACAUCUUUUCCUCCUUUUUAUGUAGAAAAUAAGGUUUAUCAUAAGUACUCAGGAAUGGUAUCUGAUCAUCAAGCCAUAGGAUGUUUCUAAAUAGGAUUUUUUGUCUCUAAUUCUAUUUUCAUUAGGU